rnacentral:rRNA from 1 species
AAUGAACGCUGGCGGCAUGGCUAAGACAUGCAAGUCGAACGGACUAUUUUGAAGAGUAAUCGGAUUGAUAGUUAGUGGCGAAAGGGUGAGGAAUGGAUAGGUAACGUACCUCGGGCUUCGGGAUAGCUCAUCGAAAGGUGGGGUAAUACCGGAUGAUGUCAUCUGUUUAAUUCAGAUGACCAAAGAUUUAUCGGCCCCUGAGCGGCCUAUUCCCUAUCAGCUUGUUGGUGAGGUAACGGCUCACCAAGGCGACGACGGGUAGCGGGACUGAGAGGUUGACCCGCCACAUCGGAACUGAGACACUGUCCGGACCUCCACGGAGGGCUGCAGUAACGAAUAUUGGGCAAUGGGCGAAAGCCUGACCCAGCAAUGCCGCGUGUAGGAUGAAGCUUUUCGGAGUGUAAACUACUUUCAGGGAUUAGAAAGCUACGGUUGAUCAAUCCCAGAAGAAGUCACGGCUAACUUCGUG